CUGCAUGUUGGAUUAUUAUUGUGUCCUUUCUCCCAUAGGACAUAUUUCCUCUAUACAUGCAAUAUAAUCACAAGGGGUUAUCAGGGCUGCCAGACUUUUAAGUACAGGCUGAGUAGUAGUAUAUUACCCCUACAGUA